rnacentral:snRNA from 1 species
GGAUGUGAAGGCGAUCUGGCUGUGACAUCUGUCACCCCAGCGAUCACCCAGGUUGAUUCGGCUGAUCUUGCUGAUAAGUCAGGUGUCCCCUUCCCCAUCACCACUCCAUGUGUGACCUCCUGAAGCUGUGCCAAAGAUUCCCCGAUAGAGGAGGACCGGUCUUCGGUCACGGAUAUAUGAAUAGCUGCACUCCCCUGCUAGAACCUCCAAAAAAGCUCUCAAACUUCACCGGGGACUCCUCUCUGCAGGGGUCUUUCCUGUCAGCAAGGCCUCAGCCACCACCACUAUCCCCUCUGCAGGCCAAGGCCGAUGGCAGAGAAGACACCAUU